AACGAACGCUGGCGGCAGGCUUAACACAUGCAAGUCGAGCGCCCCGCAAGGGGAGCGGCAGACGGGUGAGUAACGCGUGGGAACGUGCCCUUUGGUUCGGAACAACUCCGGGAAACUGGAGCUAAUACCGGAUAAGCCCUUCGGGGGAAAGAUUUAUCGCCAAAGGAUCGGCCCGCGUCUGAUUAGCUAGUUGGUGGGGUAAUGGCCCACCAAGGCGACGAUCAGUAGCUGGUCUGAGAGGAUGAUCAGCCACACUGGGACUGAGACACGGCCCAGACUCCUACGGGAGGCAGCAGUGGGGAAUAUUGGACAAUGGGCGCAAGCCUGAUCCAGCCAUGCCGCGUGAGUGAUGAAGGCCUUAGGGUUGUAAAGCUCUUUUGUCCGGGAAGAUAAUGACUGUACCGGAAGAAUAAGCCCCGGCUAACUUCGUGCCAGCAGCCGCCGUAAAAC
rnacentral:rRNA from 1 species